UGGCAAGAACGAGGAUAGGAGAACGGGAUCGAAAGCCCGGCCGAAGAAGGUGAAAGCCCUGUAACCGAAAUCCAAGGGAAGCCUAAUGGGAUCCUGAGUACGGCGAGACACGAGAAAUCUUGUCGGAAGCAGGCGGGACCAUCCGCCAAGGCUAAAUAUAAACGAGUGAGCGAUAGUGAACCAGUACCGUGAGGGAAAGGUGAAAAGAACCGCGGGAGCGGAGUGAAAGAGAACCUGAAACCGUAUGCCUACAAGAAGUCAGAGCCCGUUAAGGGGUGAUGGCGUGCCUUUUGUAGAAUGAACCGGCGAGUUGCGACAGACUGCGAGGUUAAGGAGGAAAGACCGGAGCCGAAGCGAAAGCGAGUCUUAAGAGGGCGAAAGUAGGAUGUUGCAGACCCGAAACCGGGUGAUCUAGCCAUGAGCAGGUUGAAGUUGAGGUGAAACUCAAUGGAGGACCGAACCGACUACCGUUGAAAAGUUAGCGGAUGACUUGUGGCUAGGGGAGAAAUUCCAAUCGAACCCGGAGAUAGCUGGUUCUCCCCGAAAUAGCUUUAGGGCUAGCGUCGGAAAGAACCUUAGUGAAGGUAGAGCACUGAAUGUGUGAUGGCCCCAUCCCGGGGUACUGAAUACAAUCAAACUGCGAAUGUCAUUAAGGAUGUCCGGCAGUCAGACUGUGAGUGAUAAGGUCCAUGGUCAAGAGGGAAACAGCCCAGACCGCCAGUUAAGGUCCCAAAAUACAGGCUAAGUGGAAAAGGAUGUGGGGAUGCCCAGACAACUAGGAGGUUGGCUUAGAAGCAGCCAUCCUUUAAAGAGUGCGUAACAGCUCACUAGUCGAGGGACCCUGCGCCGAAAAUGUACCGGGGCUAAGCCUGAUACCGAAACUGCGGAUUGUAGGAAACUAUAGUGGUAGGGGAGCGUUGUAUACGAGCAGAAGCCGUACCGUGAGGAGCGGUGGAUUGUAUAGAAGUGAGAAUGCCGGUGUGAGUAGCGAGAUGUAGGUGAGAAUCCUACACACCGAAAGCCCAAGGAUUCCAGGGGAAGGUUCGUCCGCCCUGGGUAAGUCGGGACCUAACGCGAGGCCGAAAGGCGUAGUGGAUGGAAAGUAGGCGAAAGAUUCCUGCACCCGUAUAUGGAGCGAAGGAGUGACGGAGACGGAUAGUGUGACCCUCUUAAUGGAUUGAGGGCGAAGCGAAGCGGCUGGUUACCAGGCAAAUCCGGUAACCUUAAGGCUAGAGCGUGACAGGUAAGCGAAAUCUUAGGAAAGUAGCGAAGCACAUGAUGACGGCUUCCAGGAAAAGCUUCUGGCAAUGCAUAUGCGGCCCGUACCAAAACCGACACAGGUGGGCAGGGAGAGAAUCCCGAGGUGAGCGAGAGAACUGUUGCCAAGGAACUCGGCAAAAUGACUCCGUAAGUUAGCGAGAAGGAGUGCUUAAGCAAUUAAGCCGCAGUGAAGAGGCCCAAGCGACUGUUUAACUAAAACACAGCUCUCUGCGAAGUCGCAAGACGAAGUAUAGGGGGUGACACCUGCCCGGUGCUGGAAGGUUAAGAGGAUCUGUUAAGAGCGAUCUGAAGCAGUGAUCCGAAGCCCCAGUGAACGGCGGCCGUAACUAUAACGGUCCUAAGGUAGCGAAAUUCCUUGUCAGGUAAGUUCUGACCC
rnacentral:rRNA from 1 species